ensembl:lncRNA
GCCACCCCUUCCUUGUGCCACUGCCCUUGUGCCUCUGGGUGAUGAAUCAGACUGAGGAACUUAUCUCACCAAAACAUACCACCGGGGUUAGUUUUUCGGUCGGAUCGGCCAACACAGAGGUGAUGAGAGGCUCCAUGAGCAACGGAAUUCCUUGAGUUUCAUCAGAACUCCAACCCAGAUGUGGGCUGCUCCUGCUUGAGAUGCCACAAGUGAGAACAGCUUUCCGCAGCUUCACGCGCGGCAGUGAGAGAAGGAUUAAAACCUGAGUUAUAGGAACACCACCAGAUUACCCCCAAGUGGAGCAGUGGAUAUGUUCACAAGGGCUUUUGCAAAUUUUUCAUGCAGAGUGGAUGGAGAGGAGCAUGCCAAGAUCAAAUAGCAGCUGUACCCGCUAGAGUUGGAACUGAAACAAUCUGAUCCACUUCAUUUCCUACUUAGCAAACAAGAAGCUUGACUGAUAUAAAUGCUCCCAAGCCUUUCUAGCUCUGUGGUAGUUGGAGGAUUGCUCCAGAGUACCUUUACAGGAGUGGGCUUUACUGGCAGAGCAUGGAGAACUUUUGACUGUUUUGAAACAGUGGGUUUGGUAUCUACUGAACAGAUCAGAGUGUACAGACAUGAGGAAUGGGACCAGAACUACAAGCCAACAAACAGAUCAAAAAGGAACCUUGUGAGGCUGGAUUUCAGUUUUAUUUCCAUCCUGAAUUUAGGGGCAGAAGCUGCCAUCUUCACUGGCCUUGUCAUUGGCAUGGCUGAGAAUCAUGGAAUCAUAGAGGUUGGAAAAGACCACUGAGAUCACCCAUUCCAACCAGCAACCCACAGCAAUACCAAGCAAGUCUUAGACCUGAUUAACACCACUGUAACAGUAAGCAAUUCUAACUACGGAGUUGCUUCUUCAUUGGUGGGCAAUUUUAGGCAUUUAGCUGCUUAUUUAAUUCCUUCACAAGAAUCACUGUUAACAACAGCAGGAAAGGACAGCCCCAGUCAUCCAGUCAUUAGAUGAAGAGUGCAAUUUUGAGGAAAUUUCCAAUGUACAAAGGUAGAUUUUGCAACAUAAGAACCAGGCAUCUGGGAUGGUUUCACUUACGUGUUUUUAGAGGCAUUGCAAUCCAUUCGCUUGGGAAUUUGUUUGAUGUUUAUCUUAUAAAAAUCUGGAAAUCAGCCUUUUCCCCUCUUUGUUUUAGCAGUGAGUUUUCAGCAGUUUCAGCUACAUAAAUCUGCGGCAUGGGAUCUUGAGCAGAUACAGCUUUCUUCAUAGUUCAUGUCAGAAAUUGGAACUAAUGGAUAGCAACAACAGAAACAAAUGUCAGUUCCAUGCUUUAAACAGCAGACAAAACACUGUGUCUCAUUAAAUCUCCUUUUUUCUGGUUACUUACGGAAUAAUUUUGCGAGUUCUCCAAUCUCUUUUCCAGGAUAAAUGCAGAACAGACAAAGAGACAAACAUCUUUUUAUGUCUUCUGCGUUCAUGGCAAAGAAUGACAUAAGCCUUACAAACAUCCAGGUGACCUAGAUUGCCAGCUGAGAAACAUCGUGCUUCAGGACCAGAACUUCGGCCAGCACAUGGGACAAUUCUGGCCAUUCAGAACUGCAAACAGCCCUGCAACGCUGUCAGAGCCUUUGAUACUUCUUGUAAUGUUAUAACUGGAUGUGCACAACGAGGCAGUGUGUGCCUUAGCAGAACGGUACGGCAGGAAUCCACUGACUUGGAAGAUUGGAUUACACGCGGAGGGGAAAAAACCUGUUCGGGUAAACAGUUUCAUUUGUAUCUCGCAGCAAAUUGGAUUCCUUCAAAAUCUCCUCAAGGGAGUGUGGCAUCACGAAGCCUUUCAUCAGGGGCCCGGCCUGGGCUCUGCUUCAAACUUCUUCAGAAGAACAGAACAAACAUUCUCCUUCCCCUGCACCGGAUGUUUUCCGAAGGUGGAACAAGGUAUCCACAGUAACUCAAAGGGAGGAAGGAUCACAUAACACCAGGCGUGAAUAUGGAGUUACCAGUUUUCACAGGCUUUUAUUAUUGCUACUUUUUCAAACCAGGAAGCUUUUCCACAUCCCUGUUGGAGCUGUGAAGUCCUCUGGGUUUCCUCUGCUUUGCAGCUACUGACAUUCAAACGCCAGGCUCUCAGAUGCAGCCAUGAUGUGCUGGGCAUUUAAUGGACAGAGGCUGCUAGAACAUUUCAUUCUCACUACAGCCCUGUGACAAGUACAGCAAUGGUGUACCUGGAAAAAUAUUUAUCAGGAAGCAUUUGAUGUAUUUUUAGGUUCUCAUUUAAAGCAAUUUGGUGGCUGGCAAGCAAGGGAGAGGAGUGUAAGCUCCCUGCACAGUGCCAGUGACUUCUCCAUAGGCUUCAGUUUUGGGAUUUGGUGCUGAGCAACUGCAUGAAAACUUCUUGGGAAGCUGUUGGGAACUGUCAGCAGACCAGAUUGGGAUUGGAGCACAUUUCUUAUUAGAACUGUAGAAUCACCGAGGCUGGAAAUGACCUCUAAGGUCCUCUAGUCCAACUGUCAACCUACCACCAAUAUUGCACACUAACCAAUGCAAUGACCCCCAGUACCACAUCUCCAUGCUUCUUGAAUGCUUCCAGGGAUAGUGACGCCAAUUAGUGUUUCCUAAUAUCCAAGCUGAACCUCCGCUGGCACAACUUGAUGGCACCGUGCUGGCAGUGGCUAUUGCUGCUUUAUUCCCUUAACUCACUGUCCUGUUGUUAGGCAAUAGACAAAAUGUCUAUUUCUUUUGUAGACAAAAAGUUGUUUCUAGGAACUUCUUCCUACUUUGGAUCACUCUGGAGUUAAACAGAUUUUUGCUUCUGUUUUGAAGUUCUCCAGAGGAUGGAUGAAACCAUGGAAAGUGUCUUUUUCUCUGUCAGGCUGCAGACAUUUCAAAAAGGAAUCUCUGUAACAUUCUGUCAUUUAAAAUAGCUCACAUUCCUCUGGAAUUUUCUGCUGUUGCUUUAAUGCUUUUGCAUAUUUUGACUGUACAUGCAAAAAUACUUAGACAGAGAUGUUUUAAGCAUUCUGGAAAAUUACAUUUUUUCACCCAUGCCCAAGAGAGAAAAGGGCCUGAUCAGCCCGAAGGAUUAGCAAGAGAUGAUUUAAGUUUUCACCUUAUUGUGACUCCCUUCUAGGCUGCAAGCUGCAAUGGGUUCAAGGAGGACCAGAAACACACCAAAGAAAUGUUUCAUGUUUGCAGUCCUGUUUCCAUAGAUGGCAAUCAUAGACUCAUAGAAUGGCCUGGGUUGAAAAGGACCUCAAAGAUCAUCUAGUUUCAACCUCCCUGCUAUGGGCAGGGUUGCCAGCCCCUAGACCAGGCUGCCCAGAGCCACAUCCAGCCUGGGAACAUCUGUCACAAAUCUCAUACUGCAUGACAUUUUCUGUGCACCUUCCAAACUAACAAACUGAAAACAGAAGGGCAAAGAGAUGACCCACCUCCUUACCCUUGGAGGCUGUGUCUCAAGGACAAGAGAAAAUCACUGCACAGUCCUUAGUGAUUGAUCUAUUACAUUGAUAGUGAAAGUUGUUUUCUUUUUAGAGUCAGGUUGCCCUCCUGAUAAACUCAUACUUACAGAAUAAUGUGUCCUUCUGGAUGUUAUUAAAAACAAGAACUGCACGGACAGCAGCAAUAGAAGUUCUAAUGUGCCCUCUAUCCCCCAUGUGCCAGUCUUUAUCUGGAAAGGCAACCUCUCAGGGAGAGAAGAUAAUUUCCUUAAUACACAUGCUGAGUAUUGGCUUCUCUGCUAAGAUGCUACAGGGUCCUGGAACAGUGAUAAUGGUAGCUAACUGCUAGCAAUGAGACACGGCUCCCUUUGUAGCAGCUGAAAAAGUUAAUUAAUUUUUUUAAGUUAAGUGCCUACUUUAAACUUCUACUAUUUACUGUAGAGAGAAUGUAAGUACCAAACUCAGCACUGUGAAUUACAUUCCCACAGCUAAGAGUUUAUUUCUUAAGCUGUAAGGAAUAUCACAACAUGAAAAUGCCUUCCUGGACCAUAACCCGGAGUACUGAAGUCAAUAUGAAUUUUUCCAUGGGGUUCAGUGAGAAAAAAACUGUGAAGUUCAGUUAUUUGAUUUUGGAAGAGUAACUCAGUGGACCAAUAGAAGGAGAAAGAUGGGUGGAAAAACUAUGCAUGACUAAUAGCUGAUUAAGAACUUGAGACAUUAUUUUCAGAAGAUGAUAAGCUGGGCUCUUGCAGCUCCACAAGAUGUCUUUGGCAAUGAAAUGAAGCUACAAAAAGAACAGAAAUGAUGUCCUGAACCAAAUUAGAGCAGUUUCCCAAGCAGACCCAAUCAUCAGUUUGAAAUGCUGUGCAGAACUGGUAUCAGAAGGAGAGAACAGACCAAGAAGUAGUGAUAAAGAACAGACUCUUGGCUCAACGGGCUUCAGAAGAUAAUCAUGAGCUUUCUGGAAGCCAGUUUAAGUGCCAUGCCAGAGCACAGUCUAAUUUCUCUGUUAAGCCCUUUUCCAGGAAAUAAACUAUUUCAUU